rnacentral:lncRNA from 1 species
UAUAACUGUUUUUAUUAAGAACUUGACAUGUAUUAACACAAUAUUGUGCCAUUCGAAAGACACCAUCUUAACAUAGAAAAUAAAAAAUCAUCUCUUUCAUAAUUUUAUCAUAUUCACAUAGACCUGGGAAGUAUUGUAAACUAUAUAUCAAUGUGUCAUUAGAUUUAGUUGUGAAUGUGAAUCCAUCUUAAUAUGUGAACUGAUUCCACAGGAAAGAAUUGAGAAAUUCCAUACAAGAUAAAACUGAAUGUUUUUAUUGCCCAAAUUCUUUUUUUGCUCACAAAUGAUAAUAAAUAUGAUGAACACCUACAUGCAGAACCUUAUUAAAAAUUUGUCAUGUUCUGCAUAUUUAUCAAUAACUUUCUGAUUUUUAUAUGGAGCAACAAUAAAUACACAUUCAGCAUUGCAUGUUAUUUUUAAUAACAGUCACUCUCUGAAAGACUAAAUGUUUCUUCAGUUCAUUUGACUUUUUAAAUGUGAUGGAUGUUUUUUUUCCCAUUAAUUCUUUAGUCUAAAACUUUGUUUGUAGAAAAAUUUAGUAUUCAUUUUCCAACUUUUUUUUCUGUCUGAAUUAUUUAUUGACUUCAUUAUGCAAAACUAGUCUUACUUGUGAUAAAAUGGGGGGACAACACAAUAUUAUUGUAAUGUGAAAAAAACCCAUCAUAAACAUUAUUUGCUAUAAUAAUAUUGUAUUAAUAAUGAUAAUAGAAAAUCAUCUCUAUAAAUAAACAUUGUAAUUCACAAUCUGAAAUAUUUAAAUUUCAUCUAUUUUAAAAAAGAUACAAAAAGGAAAAAAUAAGGAAAAAUAUAUAUUAUUUAUCUAAUUUUUUAUACUACACUCUGUAUGGUACAGGUACUUGCAUAGUAAUUUCAAAUUGUAUUACAUUUUUUUUUUACUAUUCUUAUUUAAUAGUUUUUAUUGAAUUUCCAAGACAAAUAUGGUUGAAACAUGCUGUUGUGAAUAUGCGUUUCAAUGUUGAGGGCUUGUAUAAGUUAUUUAGAAGUUAUUCAUAGUUUUUAAACAUUAUUGUGAGGUCUUUAUUCUAAGCUUGUACUCAAAGGAGUAGGUUUCAAUAAGGCCCUAAAAUGCCUUAAAUUUAACUGAAAUUUGAAAGUUUGAUUUAUUGACCAAUGUCAUAAGUAAUCAUAUAAUGACUAGAUUGGAAAAACGUCUUUUUGUUGAGAAUUUAUUUGUUUGCGUUCUAUUCAUGAUGUCACAAAUAGCACUAAUUUUGAUUUUCCAUGAAAAUUUGAUGAAAUGGGUAAAUUUACAUCAAAAUCUUGGAGAUGAAACAUAAUGUGCAUGCUUCGACCACAUAUAUAUUGUAGCCAAAUGACUUGAAUAUUUUGUUUGUGGUUGCCUGCGCUUUAUGCUUCCGAGGUCUUAAUUUGGUUGAAAUUCUGGACAAUUUUGAAAAAUGUGCAAAAAUCACUAUUUUUAACAUAUUUGGGACGCAGAAAUAAAUGAUUGAAAAUAAAAACUUUGGCAAAAAAAAAUUCAUUUAACUUUCUCAUAUGUCUGUAUAUCAUCUUAAAAUACAUUUUAUGCUGAAAAAUUGAACUUAGUAAUUGACCCAAAAUUGAACCUUACCAAACUUACUCCUUUGCAAAUUUAAAGAGUACAUUUAUGAUUUCUUAACUGGAAGAUAUGCCUAGAUUGGUUUAUACACAAUAGUUUGUAAGAAUAAGCAUGUUGAGUUAAGGACAACUAUAUUUACUUAAAGCAGAUAGUUGAGAGCCUCACAUCUUUGGGAUAUAUUUGCAAAAAUAUAAGAUUGAGGAUAUUCCUGUUUGGUCCAUAAAAAAUAUAAGAAUGAUAUUUUAUUAGCUCUGCCCUUUAUGUAAAUUAUAUUGAUGUUGGAACAUUGUCCAUGCUUGUAAACAAAUAUCAGAGGCAAUGUCUGUAUCAUACUGUUUCACACUUGAAUCAAGCUUUCUGUUGAUACUGUUUUCUCUUCUCAUGUGAUGUUUAAAUUUAUUUUAAAAAAAUCAUUUACUAGAUGGAAUAUUAUCAAAAAAAU